rnacentral:lncRNA from 1 species
GAUUAAAACGGCAUGGCGCGUUAUAUAAAGGCAUUUUAUACGUCUUUCCAGCACGUGCAUACUAGAAUGGCGUAUGGGAAAAUACGGGAGCGUCUGAUCCUUAUACUAAGUUCUUUCACAUGCAUUACUUUAGUGCAGUGCAGACAUGUGCUACAAUUGUCUGAAAAUGAAAAAGCAAAUGAUGAUGGUGAAUUUAUAUCGGAACAACAUAUGUUUGACCACGACCGAUAUGAGUCUUUACCUGAUUUUGAGUACCUAGGUGAUGACGCCAUUGUCUCAGGUAAUGAGUGCUUGGUUUAAUUUCAGUGUAGUUAUAUUUUUGUCAAGUCUAAUACACGGGCAUUGACAAUUAAAGGGCAAGUCAGUUCUUCUGAAGCAGCCUGGUAUGCCAUGUCUCCAAGUUUGAGGUGUGGUGAUGAUCUUAUGAAGUUGCAGCUCAGUGGUCCUGAAGUAGCACAAGUUGAGCUUUGUCGAGAUAAUGGGGCACCUGUUCCCCUCAAUGAGUUGCCACUUCACUGUGGAUACACCAUACCAACUUAUGGAGGUCUUAUCUAUGCUACCCCCUAUGAUGGAUGUGGUGUUGCACAACAGGGCGGGAGUUAUGUAAUGCAGAUGCAAUUGCAGGGAAAUGGUGCAGUCAUUUCUUGUCCUAUGACCUCUACAACUGCAAACGAAACCUUCCUAAGACCUCAUUCUCCUUCAUAUCAGCAGAUUCUGCUGUCUCCCCUUUAUCCUGAUAAAUUUACUCCAAUAACUAUGCCAGAACUACCUACAGCACUCCACAAGAUUCCACAAGAGUUUUGGCCUUACUACUACCCUCGUUACCAUUAUACUGGCAAGGGUUAUCCCACAGCUGAGCCAUCAGAGGAAACUUCUACAGAUGACCAAGCACCACACCAGAAACCUCAAUUUCCAAAGCACCCCCAUAUGAUGUGGCCAUAUCCCUACUCUCAUUCCCAUUAUCCUGGCAAGGGUUAUCCCACAGCUGAACCAGCAGAAGAACCUUCUGCAGAUGCCCAAGCACCAAACCAGAAACCUCAAUUUCCAAAGCACCCCCAUAUGAUGUGGCCAUAUCCCUACUCUCAUUCCCAUUAUCCUGGCAAGGGUUAUCCCACAGCUGAACCAGCAGAAGAACCUUCUGCAGAUGCCCAAGCACCAAACCAGAAACCUCAAUUUCCAAAGCACCCCCAUAUGAUGUGGCCAUAUCCCUAUUCCCAUUAUCCUGGCAAGGGUUAUCCCACAGCUGAGCCAGCGGAGGAGUCCUCUACAGAUGGCCAAGCACCAAACCAGAAGCCUCAAUUUCCAAAGCACCCCCAUAUGAUGUGGCCAUAUCCCUAUUCCCAUUAUCCUGGCAAGGGUUAUCCCACAGCUGAGCCAGCGGAGGAGUCCUCUACAGAUGGCCAAGCACCAAACCAGAAGCCUCAAUUUCCAAAGCACCCCCAUAUGAUGUGGCCAUAUCCCUAUUCCCAUUAUCCUGGCAAGGGUUAUCCCACAGCUGAGCCAGCGGAGGAGUCCUCUACAGAUGGCCAAGCACCAAACCAGAAGCCUCAAUUUCCAAAGCACCCCCAUAUGAUGUGGCCAUAUCCCUAUUCCCAUUAUCCUGGCAAGGGUUAUCCCACAGCUGAGCCAGCGGAGGAGUCCUCUACAGAUGGCCAAGCACCAAACCAGAAGCCUCAAUUUCCAAAGCACCCCCAUAUGAUGUGGCCAUAUCCCUAUUCCCAUUAUCCUGGCAAGGGUUAUCCCACAGCUGAGCCAGCGGAGGAGUCCUCUACAGAUGGCCAAGCACCAAACCAGAAGCCUCAAUUUCCAAAGCACCCCCAUAUGAUGUGGCCAUAUCCCUAUUCCCAUUAUCCUGGCAAGGGUUAUCCCACAGCUGAGCCAGCGGAGGAGUCCUCUACAGAUGGCCAAGCACCAAACCAGAAGCCUCAAUUUCCAAAGCACCCCCAUAUGAUGUGGCCAUAUCCCUAUUCCCAUUAUCCUGGCAAGGGUUAUCCCACAGCUGAGCCAGCGGAGGAGUCCUCUACAGAUGGCCAAGCACCAAACCAGAAGCCUCAAUUUCCAAAGCACCCCCAUAUGAUGUGGCCAUAUCCCUAUUCCCAUUAUCCUGGCAAGGGUUAUCCCACAGCUGAGCCAGCGGAGGAGUCCUCUACAGAUGGCCAAGCACCAAACCAGAAGCCUCAAUUUCCAAAGCACCCCCAUAUGAUGUGGCCAUAUCCCUAUUCCCAUUAUCCUGGCAAGGGUUAUCCCACAGCUGAGCCAGCGGAGGAGUCCUCUACAGAUGGCCAAGCACCAAACCAGAAGCCUCAAUUUCCAAAGCACCCCCAUAUGAUGUGGCCAUAUCCCUAUUCCCAUUAUCCUGGCAAGGGUUAUCCCACAGCUGAGCCAGCGGAGGAAUCUUCUACAGAUGUCCAAGCACCAAACCAGAACCCUCAAUUCCCAAAGCAACCCCAUAUGAUGUGGCCAUAUUCCCAUUAUCCUGGCAAGGGUCAUCCCACAACUGAGCCAGCGGAGGAGUCCUCUACAGAUGGCCAAGCACCAAACCAGAAGCCUUAAUUUCCAAAGCACCCCCAUAUGAUGUGGCCAUAUCCCUUCUCUCAUUCCCAUUAUCCUGGAAAGGGUUAUCCCACAGCCGAGCCAGCGGAGGAAUCUUCUACAGAUGUCCAAGCACCAAACCAGAACCCUCAAUUUCCAAAGCACCCCCAUAUGAUGUGGCCAUAUCCCUACUCUCAUUCACAAUAUCCUGUCAAGGGUUAUCCCACAGCUAAGCCAGCGGAGGAGUCCUCUACAGAUGGCCAAGCACCAAACCAGAAGCCUCAAUUUCCAAAGCACCCCCAUAUGAUGUGGCCAUAUCCCUACUCUCAUUCCCAUUAUCCUGGCAAGGGUUAUCCCACAGCCGAGCCAGCGGAGGAAUCUUCUACAGAUGUCCAAGCACCAAACCAGAAGCCUCAAUUUGCAAAGCACCCCCAUAUGAUGUGGCCAUAUCCCUUCUCUCAUUCCCAUUAUCCUGGAAAGCGUUAUCCCACAGCUGAGCCAGCGGAGGAGUCCUCUACAGAUGGCCAAGCACCAAACCAGAACCCUCAAUUUCCAAAGCGCCCCCAUAUGAUGUGGCCAUAUCCCUACUCUCAUUCCCAUUAUCCUGGAAAGCGUUAUCCCACAGCUGAGCCAGCGGAGGAGUCCUCUACAGAUGGCCAAGCACCAAACCAGAACCCUCAAUUUCCAAAGCGCCCCCAUAUGAUGUGGCCAUAUCCCUACUCUCAUUCCCAUUAUCCUGGAAAGCGUUAUCCCACAGCUGAGCCAGCGGAGGAGUCCUCUACAGAUGGCCAAGCACCAAACCAGAACCCUCAAUUUCCAAAGCGCCCCCAUAUGAUGUGGCCAUAUCCCUACUCUCAUUCCCAUUAUCCUGGAAAGCGUUAUCCCACAGCUGAGCCAGCGGAGGAGUCCUCUACAGAUGGCCAAGCACCAAACCAGAACCCUCAAUUUCCAAAGCGCCCCCAUAUGAUGUGGCCAUAUCCCUACUCUCAUUCCCAUUAUCCUGGAAAGCGUUAUCCCACAGCUGAGCCAGCGGAGGAGUCCUCUACAGAUGGCCAAGCACCAAACCAGAAGCCUCAAUUUCCAAAGCACCCCCAUGUGAUGUGGCCAUAUCCCUACUCCCUUCCCCAUUAUCCUGGCAAGGGUUAUCCCACAGCCGAGCCAGCGGAGGAAUCUUCUACAGAUGUCCAAGCACCAAACCAGAAGCCUCAAUUUGCAAAGCACCCCCAUAUGAUGUGGCCAUAUCCCUUCUCUCAUUCCCAUUAUCCUGGUAAGGGAUAUCCCACAGUUGAGCCAGCGGAGGAGUCUUCUACAGAUGUCCAAGCACCAAACCAGAACCCUCAAUUUCCAAAACAGCCCCAUAUGAUGUGGCCAUAUUACUACCCCGAUUAUCAUGGCAAACCAACUCCCACUUUGAAACCAGCUCCAGCCAUGGCCGCUUCUGCCCCACCAGAUUCACCCUCAAUAACCCAGAAACCGCAACCCCUAGUGUACCCUGGAAGUCUAUUCCCUCAGCAUAGCCAUUACCCUCUUUAUUUGCAACAGUUUUAUCCACAAUACCCAGUGCAGCCUCCGAAAACCCCUACCGCAUCACCUAUAACCACCACUCCUCAACCCUGUACUACAACUGCAGCUGCGGAAUGCAAACCUUCUGCCAACCAGCCUCCCAAAGAGCCACCCCGAUAUUAUAAACCACCCAAUUAUACGAGUUAUGAAAAAGACCCCUUCGCUCUUAAAUUUGUGUAUUUUUCCGAAUUGGAUCCCAAGUCUUUCCCAUGAAAUUAAUGAGGACUGAGGAUAGCUAUUUAGAAUUAGGUUGGUAAUGUGCUGCAUGUGACUUUGAGAAAGAUUGCCUCCUGAUUUAAUGCUAAUAUGUUGUGUAUGGGGUGACUGCAAAAAGUGACUCCUGCUCAUUCAUUUUGUCCUUUGUUCUCUCAAACGAUUCAAUAAAUCAAAUGUGGUCAAAUGUCCUUUUUUCUUUUCUUUUCCUUAAUCUAAAGUAUUUGAUUUAGGACAGUUAUGUAUUUGAAAUGUAAGGUGCCUGCUAUUGGAGACAAAAAAAAAACACAGUGGGGGUGUGGUGUGGUGUGAUGUAAGUUUUGAACAUUUAGU